rnacentral:rRNA from 1 species
AAUAUUGGACAAUGGGGGGAACCCUGAUCCAGCCAUGCCGCGUGUGUGAAGAAGGUCUUAGGAUUGUAAAGCACUUUAAGUUGGGAGGAAGAGCAGUUAACUAAUAUUUGACUGUUUUGACGUUACCGACAGAAUAAGCACCGGCUAACUUCGUGCCAGCAGCCGCGGUAAAACGAAGGGUGCAAGCGUUAAUCGGAAUUACUGGGCGUAAAGCGCGCGUAGGUGGUUCAGUAAGUUAGGAGUGAAAGCCCCGGGCUUAACCUGGGAAUUGCUUCUAAAACUGCUGAGCUAGAGUACGGUAGAGGGUGGUGGAAUUUCCUGUGUAGCGGUGAAAUGCGUAGAUAUAGGAAGGAACAUCAGUGGCGAAGGCGACCACCUGGACUGAUACUGACACUGAGGUGCGAAAGCGUGGGGAGCAAACAGG